rnacentral:lncRNA from 13 species
CUGGGCAACAUAGUGAGAUCCCAGCAAUACAAAAAAAAUUUUUUAAAUGAGUCAGGCAUGGUAGUGCCUACCUGUAAUCCCAGCUACUCGGGAGGCUGAGACCAGGAGUUCAAGGCUAUAGUGGGCUAUGAUUAAGCCACUGAACUCCAGCUUAGACAACAGACCCUGUCUCUAAAAAAGAGAAACAAAGCAAUUUGAAAUUUCCUUUCCUUUCCUUUUCUCUUUAUAGGCAGAAUCUAUGUCAGUUAUUUUACCUGUCCUGGUGUGGCAGCCACAGUGGGUGUGUGCCCAUAUCCCUUCACCAUUCAAUUCUACAAGCUUCAGGCUACUUGGAAGGAAGACCUGACUCUGCCUGGGGCUCUUUCUGGCUUUAGAGGAAUCCAUGCUCCACAGCAGUUCCCAGUGAGCUGCACUCUUCCCAGGCAGGAUGCUGACACCUCCGCCCCCCACCCCCGACAUUAGCUUUAUAUCCAAAUGUGACUUGGAGGCUGGUGAGGCUCAAGGUGAUCAAUGACAGCUCCAAUCAAAGCCACCCAGACAGGCAGUGCACUCGCCGCUCCUUGAUAUAAAAGGUGUUUUAUUUCUCAUCCCUUUAUUUUUGUCACUGAAAGAAUGCUUCCCAUGUGUGGAUUAAUUAAAGUGUAAACAUUAAAUAUUGAUUGAUGCAUUAUCAGCAUGGAGCAGUGGCCUCCCGUCUGAUUGAUUCCUACAGUGAUUUAUUGUCAUAUUUGGGGAGUCAUUUCACUUGAUAACCGAGAGGGAUCGCCUGCCUCCCCCCACCACGCCGGCUCCACUCCCCUCUUUUUUUCCCGGUACCUCCUCUUAGUCUUCUAGGUGACAUCUGAGUUCCAAUAACUAAAACAUCUUCAUCUUACUGUGGAGAGAAAAGUGUGUGGCCUGACAUUUGUUUUGCGUAUGCGUAUGUCUGUGUGUGUCUCCCAGGCAAUUAUCAAAUCAAUUAACAAUUUAACACAGAAAUAACCAAUCUGCCCUCUUCUUUGGGAUAUUUCUGAUUAACAGAGCUUUCCCCUACAGAGCUCUGUGAGACAUGAUUAUGGGAAGUUGGGGAUAGAGGGUGAAGGGGAGCAUAAAAUGAAACAGAGAGAGAGAAAAAAAACCUGUAGUUCCCGUUUUGUCAUUUUUCUGAGGUUUGCUUUCGCUGUGGAACUAGAAGUGAAGGGGAAAUAAAAUAGCAAUUUAUAUUUAUAAUUGGAUGUAA